GACGAACGCUGGCGGCGUGCUUAACACAUGCAAGUCGAACGGAAAGGCCCUGCUUCCGUGGGAUGGUCGCGUGGCGAACGGGUGCGUAAAACGAGAGUACCCUGCCCUUGACUUUGGGCUAACUUCAGGCAACUUGGGACAAUAUCGGAUAGGAGCACCUGCAGCAUGGUGGGGGUUGGAAAGUUGCGGCGGAUGGGGAUGGCCUCGCGGCUUAUCAGCUCGUUGGUGAGGACGUGGCUUACCAAGGCUUUGACGGGUAGCCAGCCUGAGUGGGUGACCGGCCACAUUGGGACUGAGAUACGGCCCGGACGCCUACGGGAGGCAGCAGUGAGGAAUAGUGCACGAUGGGCGGAAGCCGUAUGCAGCAACGCCGCGUGCGGGAUGACUGCCUUCUGGUUGGAAACCGCUUUCGCCUGUGACGAAGCGUGAGUGACGGUAAUGGGUAAAGAAGCACCGGCUAACUACGUG
rnacentral:rRNA from 1 species